UAAAGAGGUUGACCUUUCUGUUCUUCUUUGCAAUUCUUAUGGCUUGACUUCCUGGAUCUUGCAUGUCUUCUUUUGGUUGUCUAAUCUUUCUUGGUUAUUCUUAAGAUUCCAUAUAUAAAAUUUAUCAUGUUUUGAACAAAGUGAGCAUAUCAUGGCUGAUGUAUGUUGCUGGUUAUUAUGCUCACAAAUUAUGAAAGUCUCAGUCUUGAAAUUGAUUACAUCUUUUUUAUGUUUUGCCCCUUUAAAACCUUUUUUAAAGAGUUGAAAGUAAUUUACAAGUUUUAAUUAUGCAAUGUAGGAUUCAAUCGCAAAUGGAAUCCCUUUGGAAGAUUUUGGACAUGGUCAUCCUGAUCCUAAUAUGAGGACUGUUUUAGCUUGGCUUUCUAUUAUUGCGCACCGCAACAAAGACAAGAAGGCAGGGGGGAAACUGAUCACUGUGGCUGAUGUUGUGAAGGAACACUGGGCAACUUAUGGAUUCUUUUCUAGAUAUGACUGAGGAAUGUGAAUCUGAAGGUGCCAAUAAAAUGGUAGCAUAUCUACGAGAGACUGCAUCAAAGAGCAAGAUUGGCGAUAAGUUCUAAUGAUAAUUUUGAUAGUUCUAAUGAUCUCCUAAGUUCUAACGGUGAACUUAUUUUGUCCUAAUUCAAUUAUUAGUUUUGUUAAAGUAUUGUAAUUUUUUAAUUACAAUUUUAGCAUGUAAAUAAUUCAUGUAAAUCAAUAAAAAAUCAAUUUUUUAUACA